GACGAACGCUGGCGGCGUGCUUAACACAUGCAAGUCGAACGGAAAGGCCCUGCUUUUGUGGGGUGCUCGAGUGGCGAACGGGUGAGUAACACGUGAGUAACCUGCCCUUGACUUUGGGAUAACUUCAGGAAACUGGGGCUAAUACCGGAUAGGAGCUCCUGCUGCAUGGUGGGGGUUGGAAAGUUUCGGCGGUUGGGGAUGGACUCGCGGCUUAUCAGCUUGUUGGUGGGGUAGUGGCUUACCAAGGCUUUGACGGGUAGCCGGCCUGAGAGGGUGACCGGCCACAUUGGGACUGAGAUACGGCCCAGACUCCUACGGGAGGCAGCAGUGGGGAAUAUUGCACAAUGGGCGGAAGCCUGAUGCAGCAACGCCGCGUGCGGGAUGACGGCCUUCGGGUUGUAAACCGCUUUCGCCUGUGACGAAGCGUGAGUGACGGUAAUGGGUAAAGAAGCACCGGCUAACUACGUGCCAGCAGCCGCGGUGAUACGUAGGGUGCGAGCGUUGUCCGGAUUUAUUGGGCGUAAAGGGCUCGUAGGUGGUUGAUCGCGUCGGAAGUGUAAUCUUGGGGCUUAACCCUGAGCGUGCUUUCGAUACGGGUUGACUUGAGGAAGGUAGGGGAGAAUGGAAUUCCUGGUGGAGCGGUGGAAUGCGCAGAUAUCAGGAGAACACCAGUGGCGAAGGCGUUUCUCUGGCCCUUUCCUGACGCUGAGGAGCGAAAGCGUGGGGAGCGAACAGGCUUAGAUACCCUGGUAGUCCACGCUGUAAACGGUGGGUACUAGGUGUGGGGUCCAUUCCACGGGUUCCGUGCCGUAGCUAACGCUUUAAGUACCCCGCCUGGGGAGUACGGCCGCAAGGCUAAAACUCAAAGGAAUUGACGGGGCCCCGCACAAGCGGCGGAGCAUGCGGAUUAAUUCGAUGCAACGCGUAGGACCUUACCUGGGUUUGACAUGGAUCGGGAGUGCUCAGAGAUGGGUGUGCCUCUUUUGGGGUCGGUUCACAGGUGGUGCAUGGCUGUCGUCAGCUCGUGUCGUGAGAUGUUGGGUUAAGUCCCGCAACGAGCGCAACCCUUGUUCACUGUUGCCAGCACGUUAUGGUGGGGACUCAGUGGAGACCGCCGGGGUCAACUCGGAGGAAGGUGGGGAUGACGUCAAGUCAUCAUGCCCCUUAUGUCCAGGGCUUCACGCAUGCUACAAUGGCUGGUACAGAGAGUGGCGAGCCUGUGAGGGUGAGCGAAUCUCGGAAAGCCGGUCUCAGUUCGGAUUGGGGUCUGCAACUCGACCUCAUGAAGUCGGAGUCGCUAGUAAUCGCAGAUCAGCAACGCUGCGGUGAAUACGUUCCCGGGGCU
rnacentral:rRNA from 1 species